rnacentral:lncRNA from 1 species
UGAAAACCAAGGAAAAGAAUAUUUGAAGUCCAUUUCUAAGGGAAAAAAAGGAAGCAAUGACAUAGUACCUAGAGCUGGAGCCAACUAAACUGGUAAACAUUGCUAUCUUCAGAAUAAGUUAAGGAAUGAGAGGCGAGGAAGAGAGGACUUUCAUCCUGGAAGGACCCAAAGCACUUUGAAAGUUUAAAGGAAUGUACUGAUAGCUGCUAAAAUCACCUUUGUUACCGAAAUGGAUGAAGUACUUCAGAUUUAAAUGGUAACCAGAAUUCUCAUAUUAUGUUACAUUUCUAUCAAGAACUUUAAAUGACUUGAAAGGACUUCUUUUUAAGUUUAAACAUUUACCUUACAAAUACCAAAC